CUUAGCCACUCAUCAGCCACAGACAACAAUCUAUAGCUUGUAACAUUGGCAGUGUAAAGAGAAGAAACUAAGGGAAUUCAUCGAGGAAAGAUCCCUGAGUGUGAGCGGAGGAAGAGGCCGUGGUACAACCGAUGGAUGACAGGAAGAAGAAGGAAGAAUAACCCUGGAAAAAAGAGAAUGAAUGGAUUGUAUGGUCAAAAGAUAUGAAAUCCACUGAAAUAGCCAGACAAAGUUAAAUAAUAUUCAAUCCGAAUGUGUUUCCUGCCAGGCUUUUACUGCAAGUUAAACAAUCAAGUAGUUUGAUCAUGUCAGUUUUGUAAAAUUUAAAAUGACACCUAUAUUUCCCCUGUUACAAGGCCAUUGACCUCUUUCUAGUUGCAAAAGGAGAAACUGUACUUCUGUUAAAAAAAAGAUGUCAAAGCAAUAACUAUUAUUCUAAACAGUUAAGUGCUCA
rnacentral:lncRNA from 13 species